UACAGAGGUGGCAAGCGUUGUUCGGAAUUACUGGGCGUAAAGGGCGCGUAGGCGGCCUUCUAAGUCAGACGUGAAAUCCCCCGGCUUAACCUGGGAACUGCGUCUGAUACUGGAAGUCUUGAGUCCGGGAGAGGUGAGUGGAACUCCGAGUGUAGAGGUGAAAUUCGUAGAUAUUCGGAAGAACACCAGUGGCGAAGGCGGCUCACUGGCCCGGUACUGACGCUGAGAUACGAAAGCGUGGGGAGCAAACAGG
rnacentral:rRNA from 1 species